AGCAACUUCACUGUAAUUUAUGAGACAAUUUUGUUUGUAGGUGUGCCUUGUUCCUUGAGAGAGAGAAAAUAAGACCACCUGGUGGAGAGAGCACAUGGAACAAAAGGUGAACAUCAGGAUCCUGCCCAAAAAGGGCCUUGGGACUGCAAAGCUGGACUGGAGCUGUGGGUUCUGCUUGUGGUGCUGGCCUGGCUGAGGCCGAGGAGGGCAGCCAGGAAGCUUUUCUGGAAAGCUCUCUGCUCUCGUUAGGAGACCUGAGGCCACCUUUGUGUCUGGCACACUGUUGGAUCUGUGUGUCCAUAAUUGUGCCUCCUUUCUGCAGCCCCAUCCAUGCAGAAUGUAUGAAUGAGUUACAGCCACCAUUCACAUGCAAUACAAAUUCAUAAAUAAAUGGGAGACCAGCUGAAAGGAAGAGAGGGAGAAAUAUGAAUGGCUCAAAGAGCUAAGCACUGCAUUAAAAAAAAAAAAAAGUUGAUUCCGCCUCAGGAAAGAAGAGAGCAAUGAGCUGUGGGUUUUGCACGGUUCCUUGGCUUGCUGCUCACAGAGAAUUGCAUGGUUACCCGAGCACAUGGCACAUCAGAUGGAUUCUCUGUGCUCUCCUGACAUCUCCCUCAGCGCAGCCCACGUGCAUGGCCCCAGCACAUGGGCUGGGCUCCUCUCCUCUCUUUGCUGCUGGCCCAGCUACAGGAAGCACAGCAUUGACGCCUGCUGUUAUGGUUGUGCUGGAGCUUUUGGGAUCUCGUUCCUGAGUGAGCUCUUACAUGUGCUGGAUUUUCUGUUGCUGGAUUAGAGGCAUGGCAGUAGCAGAGGGUUUCUUCCCCAGCCUUGAGCCUCCGCAGGUAGUCUUUGGGAGCUGUUUCAACUAAGCCCUGUUUACAGAAGCUGUUUGAGCCCCACACCAAUCUGCUGAAGAUGAACCUGAGCACGUUUCUGUUCCUCUCCUCCCCCAGAACAUACUUCAGUGCAGAAAAACUCCUGGGUGCUGGCCCAAUGCCUGAUCCUUUUCUUGGACUGUGGACUGCAGACUGUGGAAAACUGCAGGUUCUGGAAUUUUGGGUGAUGACGUCAGUCACGUUCUGUACAUCCAGCCCUUGCUCUGGUUUGUGUACCUGAGAGAUGUGAAGUGUCUGCUGCACUGCUCCAGCCCCAGCAGUUCACCUUCUCAGUGACUCGGUGCACAGGAGGGAGAGCUCGUCUGCACAUCCAAUUCAGGAUCUCUCAGCCACUCUGAGAGCGGGCUCAUACACAAGUGUCUCUCAAAAACCUGAGCCCUUGGCUGCUCCGUGGAGUUUUCUUCUCCCUUCCUCAUGGAUUAAUUAGUCUUGCAGCCACUCUUACAGGAUGAGUCAUCAACGGUCUUUGAGGAUUCCCUGAGAAUCACUGGGGGAACAGAACCACUUGAAAUAGAAGAUGUGUGACCCCAUGUGCUGUGUGGGAGAUGGCUUCCUAUCCUUUUGUACAUCAUAAUUGUUGUAAGUGUUGAGUUCUGAGAAUCCUAACAAAAUAAGGCUGGAAUUUCUCUCUUAUGAGACAGAUAGUUCUGGUAUUUUGCUCUGCUGGCAAUUACAAACUAAUUGGUGGCUUCACAUACCAAAUGAUGUCUUU